rnacentral:rRNA from 1 species
UAAUACAUGUGGGGCAAGCGUUGUUCGGAAUUACUGGGCAUAAAGGGUGCGUAGGCGGUUUGUUAAGUCACAGGUGAAAGUUUUCGGCCCAACCGGAAAAUUGCCUGCGAUACUGGCGAACUUGAGUGCGUGAGGGGUAGGGGGAACGAGCAGUGUAGCGGUGAAAUGCGUAGAUAUUGCUCGGAAGGCCGGAGCCGAAGGGGCCCUACUGGUGCGCAACUGACGCUGAUGCACGAAAGCGUGGGGAGCAAACAGGAUUAGAUACCCUGGUAGUCCACGCCGUAAACGAUGAGCACUAGGUGGAUGCCGAGCUAUCGGUGUCCGCCGCAGGCAAUUUGAUAAGUGCUCCGCCUGGGGAGUAUGGUCGCAAGGCUG